UUGUUCUAUUUUUAUUUUCUUUGCAUAACAAAUCCUAUAAACACAAAAAUAACGUAAAUAGCUCAAAAAUAUAAGGAACUAACUAAGAAAAGACGAGUGAAUUCGAAGUAAAAAUAUAUAUAAAUAUGAUCCGAUCAAAUACCCCCACACUUAACUUUUGCUAGUCCUCGAGCAAAACAAAGAAAACAAGAACAAGUAGUAACAAGAAAAACAUUAGCUUCCCCCUAUGUGACCCUCAUAGAAUUUCAUUUGAGAACACAAAUCAACAAGAACCAUAGCUGGCACCAAACAAGCUAAUCCAAGUUCAUCUUCCUUAUUCAAAUAUUAGCAGUAAUCUUUAAAUCAUCCUUGAAGUGUAGUGUGUGAGAUAGCCAUGCUAAUGCAAUUUCAAAAUUUUUAUAUUUUUAAAAUCAUCAUAUGCAAACUAGCAACCUUCUCACGGGAUAUACACUCAAUCACACAUGUGUUUAGUUUAAAUGUGUUUCGCUCAAAGAAUCAAGUGUGAAAGUUCUACCAUAAGCUUGCAUAAAUAUCACUUCUCCACAGUCAUAAUUGCAAAACUUAAAUCAAGAGGACUUUUAUUGGAUGUAAUGAGGUUUAGGGAUAGGGUUAUUGAAACGAAAGAAUAGGAAAACACAAGUUCCAAGCUACAUUGCAAGCAAUUCUUUUGUUUAGAUUUAUAAGAACUCAAUCUUUCCAGCGAUUCUUCUAGCACCUCCAACCACACCCUUAAACUGAAACUUUAAAAACUUUUUAUUUCAUUUGUAUACAAUCUUUCUUUUUCUUUUUCUUUUCUUCUCUUUUCUCUUUUUUUUUUUUUUUUUUUUUUUUUAAAAUACAAACAUGAAAUACCCCCACACUUAUUCUUUUGCCAAACACCUUCAAAGUACUUCACAAACGUUUCUCAUAAAACAAUCUCGCAUUGCUCGCUUGGAAAGGGUAAGGAAAAAAUGUUUCAGGUAUAAGGGUAGACAUAUCUGGUGAUAA
rnacentral:lncRNA from 1 species